GAUGAACGCUGGCGGCGUGCCUAAUACAUGCAAGUCGAGCGAAUGGAUUAAGAGCUUGCUCUUAUGAAGUUAGCGGCGGACGGGUGAGUAACACGUGGGUAACCUGCCCAUAAGACUGGGAUAACUACGGGCAACCGGGGCUAAUACCGGAUAACAUUUUGAACCGCCUGGUUCGAAAUUGAAAGGCGGCUUCGGCUGUCACUUAUGUAUGGAACCGGGGCGCAUUAGGUAGUUGGUGAGGUAACGGCUCACCAAGGCAACGAUGCGUAGCCGACCUGAGAGGGUGAUCGGCCACACUGGGACUGAGACACGGCCCAGACUCCUACGGGAGGCAGCAGUAGGGAAUCUUCCGCAAUGGACGAAAGUCUGACGGAGCAACGCCGCGUGAGUGAUGAAGGCUUUCGGGUCGUAAAACUCUGUUGUUAGGGAAGAACAAGUGCUAGUUGAAUAAGCUGGCACCUUGACGGUACCUAACCAGAAAGCCACGGCUAACUACGUGCCAGCCGCCGCCGUAA
rnacentral:rRNA from 1 species